rnacentral:rRNA from 1 species
CCUACGGGUGGCUGCAAUUAGGAAUCUUGCGCAAUGGACGAAAGUCUGACGCAGCGACGCCGCGUGAGGGAUGACGGAUUUCGGUCUGUAAACCUCUUUUGACAGGGAAGAAGAAUGUGACGGUACCUGUCGAAUAAGCCCCGGCUAACUACGUGCCAGCAGCCGCGGUAAUACGUAGGGGGCGAGCGUUGUCCGAAGUUACUGGGCGUAAAGCGCGCGUAGGCGGUUACUUAAGUCUGGGGUGAAAGGUUCAGCGCUCAACGUGAACAUUGCCU